rnacentral:rRNA from 1 species
AUUGAACGCUGGCGGCAGGCCUAACACAUGCAAGUCGAACGGUAACAGGAAGAAGCUUGCUUCUUUGCUGACGAGUGGCGGACGGGUGAGUCAUGUCUGGGAAACUGCCUGAUGGAGGGGGAUAACUACUGGAAACGGUAGCUAAUACCGCAUAACGUCGCAAGACCAAAAAGGGGGACCUUCGGGCCUCUUGCCAUCGGCUGUGCCCAGAUGGGAUUAGCUAGUAGGUGGGGUAACGGCUCACCUAGGCGACGAUCCCUAGCUGGUCUGAGAGGAUGACCAGCCACACUGGAACUGAGACACGGUCCAGACUCCUACGGGAGGCAGCAGUGGGGAAUAUUGCACAAUGGGCGCAAGCCUGAUGCAGCCAUGCCGCGUGUAUGAAGAAGGCCUUCGGGUUGUAAAGUACUUUCAGCGGGGAGGAAGGGAGUAAAGUUAAUACCUUUGCUCAUUGACGUUACCCGCAGAAGAAGCACCGGCUAACUCCGUG